rnacentral:lncRNA from 1 species
UAUCAGUGAGUACAUAUUGUGUGAGUUCCUUUGUGAAUGUGUUACCUCAUUUCUACUGAGUGUAUUAUAAAAUAAAGAUCAUGUCAUUGAAAAUGCUGUACAAGUUCGUACAAAUUUGAGCGCUAACCAAAGACGAUAAUAAAUGUAUAUUUUAUCUAAGUAGAUUAUAAAUUAAACUCACUAAAAUUUGAUAUUUAUUGCUCUCAUGUCCUUAAAGUUUCCUUAGAAAUUACAUGCAAGUUUUCCAAAUAAUCAAAAGCUUAAUUUUUGCUAUCACUUAAGAAUAUUCGAAUUUAAAUAAUGCCUUGGGGCUCAUAAUGACCAUUUGUAUAGUAAUAGUCGUUUAAAUAUAUAAAUUCUUUUUUUGUGACACAAUGAAGUUUUAAAGUUUUAUUCCACUUUAUAUACUUUUAUAAAUUGAGAAAAGAAUCUCAAAUUACAGGAGUGACUAGAAACCAAUAACUUAAGUUACUCAGGAUUGAUGUUAGUUUUCUGAAUUUCUAACCUGGAAAUUUCAAAGUUGUGAACUUUUGCAUCCACAGAACAAACUACUGAUGUGCUUUGCUGUCAUGCUUUGCCCUGAGGCGCAGUUUCUGUCUUUCUUUUUCUUCUCACUGUGUUCUACUCUUGUGCUAACAGAUGUUCUGCUCACACAUGGUUUUGCAGUUUCCCACACCCUAUGUCCAUCACCAAGGCUCUGACUCUGCAGUCUGCAGUAACUUUUUCUUAUCUCUCAGGUACAGUCUUCCAGUUCGUUCCAGUUUGAAUUGGUCAUUCACAAUCUACAAAUCAAGUAAACACAACAGUAAAAACAACAACAACAACAACACCACAACAACAUCUAGUCUCAAAGGGACACAGUAUUUUCUUCUGUGAAGGGAGAGUUGAGGCCCUGACAUGAUGAUGCUAUCCUGUUCUCUUCAGCUGGCUGCAAUGGGCUGAUUGUGUCGUCACUUCAGUUCACACUGUGUAUUUAUUUUGUGGUCCACAGUAUUAUGGAAAGUUAAAGAUGACAAGUUCUUGACAUUAUAUUGAACACAUUUUUUUCAUAAUGUUCAUAAUUGGUAUGCCCUUAGCAACUGUUUUGCUUCUUCUACAUUGUGCCAUUACUUUCCUGCAAGCUUAUCAGGAAGCUACUUAAUCAUGAUGGAAUUUAGGAAAAUACAAAGUGAAUCACUAGACAAUAUGUUUCUGCUUGAACUAUGAAUGGUGAGGUAGUAAGACAAUUGGUAGAGGACAUGGUGAUAACCUUGUGAAAAUAUGAUUAGCUGAACAUAAUAUGAAUACAAAAGCUCCAUAGAAUGAAGAGAUGAUAAAACCACCAUUUGUAGCAUGAUAAAGACAAAAAUCUAUCUAACCUAUAUAGAUCUAUGAAAACACUACUAUAUAUAUAUAUAUAUAUAUAUAUAUAUAUGUAUAUAUAUAUAUAUAUAUAUAUAUAUGAAUUUAAAUCUUAUUUUAAUUUAUACUAAAGUACAAAUUCUAUGGACUCAAAAUUGAAUAGAAUUACUAAUUGAGAGAGUAACAUCAAUUUUUUUUGGAUCUAUAAGUCUCUUACUCCUUCACGUAAAAUAUUUGGAUGCUAAAAAUGUACAAUUAGAUAACAUUAGAAACUUCUACAAUACUAACACUAAAUUCUCAUUCAGCUAAUGUGAGAUAAAAUGAUUCGAUUUUUACUUAAACAGGAAGUGAUACCUAGAUAACCCAAUUAUGUAAUUAGCAACUCUUGGGUCGGUAGGAAAAUUUAGGUUUGAUGGGUAUAUAGUAAUAUAAAAACUAGCAUGUAAUGAGUAAUUAAAAUAUAAUUAGAACCAUAUUUUGUGAAAAAAUUAAGUAUGCCUUUGAAAAGGCAGUUUGCGCUUUUAAUUAUUAUUAAGCUGCUAUGGCCCAACAUUUCUUACAUUCAUUAAAUUCGUUAACUGAAGAAGAGGCUCUCUUGUUAAGCAAUUCUGGAAAGAAUAUAAAUCCUCCUCAAACAAUAAUAGCCAGAGGAAGAACAAACACAAACCUUUUCGUGAACCCAAUAAAACACUGAGCUCACUGGGCCUCCAAAUGUUCAAAAUUAUUUAAAGGUCCAUCCAUGAAGAAAUGAGUCAUGAGCUUCUGCUGUCCGUGAAAAGCUUAUAGUAUGAUCUGACCACAGUAGAAGUGCUGAUAAAAUGACCACAAUAUGUAUCAUCUGGCAAUACACUAAAGUUUUGACAAAUGAUUGAAAAUUGGACAGGAGAUGUAGAGAAAGAGAAUGAAACCUGGGGAAGUCUCCAGUGAGUGGCUGUUUGAAGUGGCUCGUCCUGAUUUUAAUUGGAUUUCUACUGGGUAUUGGCUUGUGAGAAAUAAGAAAGUGGUCUGAGAGCCAGAAAGAAAUUUCUCUCAGGCAUCAGGUCUGUCUACUAAUAUUGCUUCAACAAGAAAGACCCAGACCCCUCCCCAAAACAUCAUUUUAAGUCCAAAGCAAUGCAAUGUACAUAAAGACUAACUUCUGGUUAGAGUAAUUCACUUCUCCAAAUAAAGGCGCUUAGACUAUAAAGGUAUAAACCAUGUCCGGGUAUAAAUUAUGAGUAUAAAUCUCAGUUUACCCUGCAUUAUAAAUUUAAUAAAAUAGUUACAC